rnacentral:rRNA from 1 species
GAGGACCGAACCGACUAAUGUUGAAAAAUUAGCGGAUGACUUGUGGCUGGGGGUGAAAGGCCAAUCAAACCGGGAGAUAGCUGGUUCUCCCCGAAAGCUAUUUAGGUAGCGCCUCGUGAAUUCAUCUCCGGGGGUAGAGCACUGUUUCGGCAAGGGGGUCAUCCCGACUUACCAACCCGAUGCAAACUGCGAAUACCGGAGAAUGUUAUUACGGGAGACACACGGCGGGUGCUAACGUCCGUCGUGAAGAGGGAAACAACCCAGACCGCCAGCUAAGGUCCCAAAGUCAUGGUUAAGUGGGAAACGAUGUGGGAAGGCCCAGACAGCCAGGAUGUUGGCUUAGAAGCAGCCAUCAUUUAAAGAAAGCGUAAUAGCUCACUGGUCGAGUCGGCCUGCGCGGAAGAUGUAACGGGGCUAAACCAUGCACCGAAGCUGCGGCAGCGACGCUUAUGCGUUGUUGGGUAGGGGAGCGUUCUGUAAGCCUGUGAAGGUGUGCUGUGAGGUAUGCUGGAGGUAUCAGAAGUGCGAAUGCUGACAUAAGUAACGAUAAAGCGGGUGAAAAGCCCGCUCGCCGGAAGACCAAGGGUUCCUGUCCAACGUUAAUCGGGGCAGGGUGAGUCGACCCCUAAGGCGAGGCCGAAAGGCGUAGUCGAUGGGAAACAGGUUAAUAUUCCUGUACUUGGUGUUACUGCGAAGGGGGGACGGAGAAGGCUAUGUUGGCCGGGCGACGGUUGUCCCGGUUUAAGCGUGUAGGCUGGUUUUCCAGGCAAAUCCGGAAAAUCAAGGCCGAGGCGUGAUGACGAGGCACUACGGUGCUGAAGCAACAAAUGCCCUGCUUCCAGGAAAAGCCUCUAAGCAUCAGGUAACAUCAAAUCGUACCCCAAACCGACACAGGUGGUCAGGUAGAGAAUACCAAGGCGCUUGAGAGAACUCGGGUGAAGGAACUAGGCAAAAUGGUGCCGUAACUUCGGGAGAAGGCACGCUGAUACGUAGGUGAAGCGACUUGCUCGUGGAGCUGAAAUCAGUCGAAGAUACCAGCUGGCUGCAACUGUUUAUUAAAAACACAGCACUGUGCAAACACGAAAGUGGACGUAUACGGUGUGACGCCUGCCCGGUGCCGGAAGGUUAAUUGAUGGGGUUAGCGCAAGCGAAGCUCUUGAUCGAAGCCCCGGUAAACGGCGGCCGUAACUAUAACGGUCCUAAGGUAGCGAAAUUCCUUGUCGGGUAAGUUCCGACCUGCACGAAUGGCGUAAUGAUGGCCAGGCUGUCUCCACCCGAGACUCAGUGAAAUUGAACUCGCUGUGAAGAUGCAGUGUACCCGCGGCAAGACGGAAAGACCCCGUGAACCUUUACUAUAGCUUGACACUGAACAUUGAGCCUUGAUGUGUAGGAUAGGUGGGAGGCUUUGAAGUGUGGACGCCAGUCUGCAUGGAGCCGACCUUGAAAUACCACCCUUUAAUGUUUGAUGUUCUAACGUGGACCCGUGAUCCGGGUUGCGGACAGUGUCUGGUGGGUAGUUUGACUGGGGCGGUCUCCUCCUAAAGAGUAACGGAGGAGCACGAAGGUUGGCUAAUCCUGGUCGGACAUCAGGAGGUUAGUGCAAUGGCAUAAGCCAGCUUGACUGCGAGCGUGACGGCGCGAGCAGGUGCGAAAGCAGGUCAUAGUGAUCCGGUGGUUCUGAAUGGAAGGGCCAUCGCUCAACGGAUAAAAGGUACUCCGGGGAUAACAGGCUGAUACCGCCCAAGAGUUCAUAUCGACGGCGGUGUUUGGCACCUCGAUGUCGGCUCAUCACAUCCUGGGGCUGAAGUAGGUCCCAAGGGUAUGGCUGUUCGCCAUUUAAAGUGGUACGCGAGCUGGGUUUAGAACGUCGUGAGACAGUUCGGUCCCUAUCUGCCGUGGGCGCUGGAGAACUGAGGGGGGCUGCUCCUAGUACGAGAGGACCGGAGUGGACGCAUCACUGGUGUUCGGGUUGUCAUGCCAAUGGCACUGCCCGGUAGCUAAAUGCGGAAGAGAUAAGUGCUGAAAGCAUCUAAGCACGAAACUUGCCCCGAGAUGAGUUCUCCCUGACCCUUUAAGGGUCCUGAAGGAACGUUGAAGACGACGACGUUGAUAGGCCGGGUGUGUAAGCGCAGCGAUGCGUUGAGCUAACCGGUACUAAUGAACCGUGAGGCUUAACCUU